GCUCCCAUAGUUGAGAACAACGAUGGCUUUUCAAGCUGUAGGUCUUGGGUAAAAUCCAGGUGGGAGUA
rnacentral:tRNA from 1 species